UAAGAAUCACUUCUGGGGCCAGAAGAAUAACCUGGUGGGCUUGCUGCUAAGCGCUGCCACCGGAGCGGGGUACAUCUCUGGGACCCGUGUUCUGGAAGGCCUGCAACUUGACCUCUGACCUCCACAUACACAUUGGGCCUGGCAGACACGCAUGCGCGCGCACGCACUCACAACUAAAUAAAUGCUGAAAUCAUCUGCGGGCUGAGUGGAUGGCACCUGAUCCUCAUGAUUCUUCAGACAGACAGACCUCAGGAUGAUGUGCAAGGUGCCCACGGAGUUCUGGAAGGAGUGGCUGGGCACGGCUCGCCACUGUUCACUAACUCUAGGACCCUGGAGACGUCUCCCGGCUGUCUGUUCUGCACACGCACACAACGGCCUCCCGAGCUCAGGGUGGGCCAGAUGGUGCUGAACGGUGAGCUAGCAUCCCGACGCUGAGGCCUCUGGCUCAUCCCUUCACUGUACUGCGCCUCAGUUUCCCCAGCUGUGAUGUGGAGACAACACCCGCGGCGGCGGCACCUCUCAUACGGCUGUGGUGAACCUUAAACGAGAUAAUUCCCCUGAACAGUUUAGAGGAGUGCCAAGCGCAGUGCUCAAUAAAAAUUAAUUAUUAUUAUUUGGCACAGGGCCUGUUCCCGAUUAGAUGUUCAAUUAACUUUCCUCUCCUUCCCAGCCCUGGGGACUUACCAGCUGGGAGGCUGCUAGGUCUGGGUGGUGAGCACUCCAUUAGUCAGAGGUCUGAAUGGAGACUCCAAACCCGAAGGUCUCGUCCCUUCCUUCAGGGCAGCAACGUCCAGCGUCCCCACACACCUGGCAUGGCCCCAGCUCAGCCCUGCCUCGGCAACCCCCGCCCUCCUUCCUGCCUGGCUUUGCUGUUGUGUCUGUGACAGUCACAGAUGGGAGUGGCACCUGCCCUGCCUUCAUCCCAUCCUCCCUUCCUGGGAUCCUGGUCUUCUCACAUCCUACGUCUGUUCCACUCUGUCACCGAUGGACCCGGAGGCAGAGGAGACCCCAUCCACCCACCUCUGCAAGCAGAGGAUGAUCAGGGCAAUGUGGGCCAUCCUUCUGUCCUUCUGGACCAAGAGGCUCCAGGUUGGGGCUGUGCAGCAAGUGGAGGAGUAGGACUCUGCGGCCUGCUGCUCCCUCCCUUCAGGCUCGUGAACUCUUCUGGCUCUCACAGGAUGGGAACACACCAGGGACUCAACUGGGGUUUAGGAGCCAGGCAGGUAAUGGUUCUGCUCUCCAGCGCCAUUUGAAGCAUGGCCCGGGUCGAAGGGUCCUUGGAGAUACUUCCUCAGCCAAGCAUCUGAGCUCUGGCCAGGCAGGGAGUUACCAGAGUGUGGGCCGGAAGUUACCAGAGGGUGGGUGUCUACAGGAUGGGUAGCCGCAGCUGGACCACCAGGACCCUUCUGAGUGCUUUGGGACAAACCUUGGGGCCCUCCACCAGCACAGCUGGUCUUUAGGAUCCCAAACCUGCCUCUGAUCUCUGAUAACCCCUGUUCCUCCCAGCUGCGCAGUGUCCUCGGCUGGGGUAGAGUGACCACUGCUGGAUGCUGGGUCCUCCUGUCACACAAAGGGCUUUCCCUCUGCCGUGGACAUCAGCAGGCAGCUUCUUUUCUUCCCAGCCAUUGCCCAACAUCUGUCCUUGUACAUUUGUAUGUCAUAUGCCAGCGACUCCGCAUUACCUGUCAAAACCAUCCAAUACCCGCAGACAACCUCAGACAACCUCGUUCCUGUCCUGGUUCUUCAGCGGCACUGACCUCCAGCCCGGCCUCAUCGCCCAACCUUGCCACUCGGUUCCAGUGUUGAAUUCCCUCCCAAUCAGAAGCUCUGCUCUGGCCAGGUCCUCAGAGCCCUUUUCUCCGCAGCCCUGCUCCACCAGGCCAGUGAGCAUGAACCUCUCUGUGUUCCCAUGAGCCCCUGCUCCUCUAUACGCAGAAGCACCCCCUUCCAAGGACUCCCAUGGUGACGAAAUAGCGCAUCUGUCUCUGCCAAGUGCUGCUGCCACGAUGACCUCAAAUCCCCAAAGCAGUCAAGGCCAAGUGACUGUAGAACAAAAGAACCUUUUCCUUCUUGUAAGUUAAUUAUCUCAGGUAUUUUAUCACAGCAAUGAAGAGAUGUAGUACAGAUAAUUAAAAAACAGUGUGUGUGUGUGUGUGUGUAUGUGAGAGAGAGGGAGAGAGAGAGACAGAGAGAGACGACAGAG